rnacentral:rRNA from 1 species
UUACGUGCCAGCAGCCGCGGUAAUACGUAAGGGGCAAGCGUUAUCCGGAUUUACUGGGUGUAAAGGGAGCGUAGACGGAUGGACAAGUCUGAUGUGAAAGGCGGGGGCCCAACCCCCGGACUGCAUUGGAAACUGCCCGUCUUGAGUGCCGGAGAGGUAAGCGGAAUUCCUAGUGUAGCGGUGAAAUGCGUAGAUAUUAAGAGGAACACCAGUGGCGAAGGCGGCUUACUGGACGGUAACUGACGUUGAGGCUCGAAAGCGUGGGGAGCA